rnacentral:rRNA from 1 species
UACGUAGGGGGCUAGCGUUGUCCGGAAUCAUUGGGCGUAAAGCGCGUGUAGGCGGUCCGGUAAGUCCGCUGUGAAAGUCGGGGGCUCAACCCUCGGAUGCCGGUGGAUACUGUCGGGCUUGAGUACGGAAGAGGCGAGUGGAAUUCCUGGUGUAGCGGUGAAAUGCGCAGAUAUCAGGAGGAACACCAAUUGCGAAGGCAGCUCUCUGGGACGGUACUGACGCUGAGACGCGAAAGCGUGGGGAGCAAACAGG